AGUUCUACUGAAAACUAUGAGAUCAAGGGUUGCUUUGCUAUGUCUGAGUUGGGCCAUGGAAGUAAUGUUCGAGGGAUUGAAACAGUUGCUACUUAUGAUUCGAACACUGGAGAAUUUAUAAUCAAUACUCCAUGUGAAUCGGGUCAGAAGUAUUGGAUUGGUGGUGCAGCAAAUCAUGCAACACACACUAUAGCCUU